rnacentral:rRNA from 1 species
UACGUAGGGUGCAAGCGUUAAUCGGAAUUACUGGGCGUAAAGCGUGCGCAGGCGGUUUUGUAAGUCUGUCGUGAAAGCCCCGGCUCAACCUGGGAAUUGCGAUGGAGACUGCAAGGCUUGAAUCUGGCAGAGGGGGGUAGAAUUCCACGUGUAGCAGUGAAAUGCGUAGAGAUGUGGAGGAACACCGAUGGCGAAGGCAGCCCCCUGGGUCAAGAUUGACGCUCAUGCACGAAAGCGUGGGGAGCAAACAGG